GGUCAAUGAUGAGCAGUAAAAGGGCUGACCCCAGGCCCCCGCCCUGCACUCGCAGCGUCCCCAGCCGCCUCCCUCCCGUCUGGCCCCAGCAGUGCUCCGACGGGCACAAGGGCGGCUGACACACGGCGAUGCCCCAGGCCUGUGCUCCUUGGCGAGCCCACGGAGGACGCGUGGUUGGCAUCCCACAGGCAGCCUGUGAAGGGAUGUGACUGCAGGAGGGUGGCAUCUGGCUCUGAUCUGACUUUUGCGCUGAGACC